rnacentral:ncRNA from 2 species
GCCCGUUGUAGAGGCGCGAUUAAAAUGAGUAAACACAUUUAGGGUGAUUCCUUUGAGAUGUGGUGAAAGGUUUUUUCGCCGAAGUGGGUGUGUAUAUCAAAACACAUUUGCUGGGGUUGUUUCCAAAUAGGAACAACACUGCCAUAGUCAGUUUAAUUUUAUAACUAUGGAGCGCUACUGUAAGG